GGUUAAGCGACUAAGCGUACACGGUGGAUGCCCUGGCAGUCAGAGGCGAUGAAGGACGUGCUAAUCUGCGAUAAGCGUCGGUAAGGUGAUAUGAACCGUUAUAACCGGCGAUUUCCGAAUGGGGAAACCCAGUGUGUUUCGACACACUAUCAUUAACUGAAUCCAUAGGUUAAUGAGGCGAACCGGGGGAACUGAAACAUCUAAGUACCCCGAGGAAAAGAAAUCAACCGAGAUUCCCCCAGUAGCGGCGAGCGAACGGGGAGCAGCCCAGAGCCUGAAUCAGUGUGUGUGUUAGUGGAAGCGUCUGGAAAGGCGCGCGAUACAGGGUGACAGCCCCGUACACAAAAAUGCACAUGCUGUGAGCUCGAUGAGUAGGGCGGGACACGUGGUAUCCUGUCUGAAUAUGGGGGGACCAUCCUCCAAGGCUAAAUACUCCUGACUGACCGAUAGUGAACCAGUACCGUGAGGGAAAGGCGAAAAGAACCCCGGCGAGGGGAGUGAAAAAGAACCUGAAACCGUGUACGUACAAGCAGUGGGAGCACGCUUAGGCGUGUGACUGCGUACCUUUUGUAUAAUGGGUCAGCGACUUAUAUUCUGUAGCAAGGUUAACCGAAUAGGGGAGCCGAAGGGAAACCGAGUCUUAACUGGGCGUUAAGUUGCAGGGUAUAGACCCGAAACCCGGUGAUCUAGCCAUGGGCAGGUUGAAGGUUGGGUAACACUAACUGGAGGACCGAACCGACUAAUGUUGAAAAAUUAGCGGAUGACUUGUGGCUGGGGGUGAAAGGCCAAUCAAACCGGGAGAUAGCUGGUUCUCCCCGAAAGCUAUUUAGGUAGCGCCUCGUGAAUUCAUCUCCGGGGGUAGAGCACUGUUUCGGCAAGGGGGUCAUCCCGACUUACCAACCCGAUGCAAACUGCGAAUACCGGAGAAUGUUAUCACGGGAGACACACGGCGGGUGCUAACGUCCGUCGUGAAGAGGGAAACAACCCAGACCGCCAGCUAAGGUCCCAAAGUCAUGGUUAAGUGGGAAACGAUGUGGGAAGGCCCAGACAGCCAGGAUGUUGGCUUAGAAGCAGCCAUCAUUUAAAGAAAGCGUAAUAGCUCACUGGUCGAGUCGGCCUGCGCGGAAGAUGUAACGGGGCUAAACCAUGCACCGAAGCUGCGGCAGCGACGCUUAUGCGUUGUUGGGUAGGGGAGCGUUCUGUAAGCCUGCGAAGGUGUGCUGUGAGGCAUGCUGGAGGUAUCAGAAGUGCGAAUGCUGACAUAAGUAACGAUAAAGCGGGUGAAAAGCCCGCUCGCCGGAAGACCAAGGGUUCCUGUCCAACGUUAAUCGGGGCAGGGUGAGUCGACCCCUAAGGCGAGGCCGAAAGGCGUAGUCGAUGGGAAACAGGUUAAUAUUCCUGUACUUGGUGUUACUGCGAAGGGGGGACGGAGAAGGCUAUGUUGGCCGGGCGACGGUUGUCCCGGUUUAAGCGUGUAGGCUGGUUUUCCAGGCAAAUCCGGAAAAUCAAGGCUGAGGCGUGAUGACGAGG
rnacentral:rRNA from 1 species